rnacentral:rRNA from 1 species
AGAGUUUGAUCCUGGCUCAGAACGAACGCUGGCGGCGUGGAUAAGACAUGCAAGUCGAGCGAUGAUUACAGGGUAGCAAUAUUCUGUAGUUGGAGCGGCGCAAGGGUGCGUAACACGUGGGUAAUCUGCCAUGAAGCCCGGGAUAACUCGCUGAAAGGCGAGCUAAUACCGGAUGUGAAAAUUAGGAGGCAUCUUCCGAUUUUCAAAGCUGGGGACCGUAAGGCCUGGCGCUUCAUGAUGAGCCCGCGGCCUAUCAGCUAGUUGGUGAGGUAACGGCUCACCAAGGCUAAGACGGGUAGCUGGUCUGAGAGGACGACCAGCCACACUGGAACUGAGACACGGUCCAGACACCUACGGGUGGCAGCAGUCGAGAAUUUUUCACAAUGGGGGAAACCCUGAUGGAGCGACGCCGCGUGGGGGAUGAAUGGCUUCGGCCCGUAAACCCCUGUCAUUUGCGAACAAAUUGGUUCAAUUAAUAGCUGAACCAUUGAUAGAGCGAAAGAGA